GGUGUCCUGAAGGAGUACCAUAUUGAAUCCAGUGUUUAUGGGGCCUUCGUUUCAUGGGAUUGGAGUUGGAACCCAGAAUGGCAAAGUGACUCACCCACAGGAGAAUAAGGCUGGAUGGUGGGUUAGCAGGGUACUGGAGAAAAGGCAGUCAGUGCUACAGGUGAAGAGAUAUUCACCUCAGGAGUGCCCAGUGGGAUGCAACCAGCAGUUGGGGCUUAAAACUCAAGCACAUUUCUCAGAGCUGAUGGCAGCAGCUGGACUUUACGAUAGUGAUGGUGGCUCAAAGCCCUUCUGCUCCAGUGUGUCUCAUAAAGCUUUUAUGAAGCCUCAAUCAUCUCUUCAGCAGAUCCUGUGUCAUGAAGAAGGAUGCAGAGAACAUAAGGAGCACCCCAUCGAUGGUGCACCCCAGGUUUCUAAACCUUCCAGGGAGGGGAAAUCAGCAUUUUUGGCUCUGGCCAGAAAACCAAAUUGCUGAAGCUAUGGGACUUGUUCCGAACUGCAAGAUCUUGUUUGAUGGGAAUGAUUGUAGCUUUAGGUAAUUCUGGGGCUUAUUGGCCUGGGUGAGAGCUCCCUAGUGUCUGCUGGAAUGUGAUGGCUGUAAGAUGCAGGGAGGAGAAAUGGGAAAGUAGGGUCUUUAUUGACUCAACAGAGCCUUGUAAAGAAGUACCAACUCCAUAUAUGCCGUCUGUGCAUUUCGAAAGCAACAAACAAACAAAAUCAAUUUAUCAACUCUUGGGAGAGAAAAUGGAUUAUUUUCACUGCAAAUUCUAGGUAAGCAGGAGAGUGCUAUACCUUUGCAGAGAGAAAAGUUUUAUGUACCCUCAACUGUAGGUCCUCACUAUAAUACAGUCCCAUCAUGUAUUUCCUGAGACAUCUACUAAGGAGACUUCCUAGAAUUGAAUCUUUCUCAUCUUUUUUUCUCUUUUCUUCCUCGAGUCUUCUGUGACAUGCAAUAAUACAAAACAAAAUACAGGUCUUAGAAUAAAUUUACCUGGAAUCAAGUCACUGUGGAAAGUUGGGCUUCUUUGACCCUCAGUAUUCUCGUCUGCAAACGAGGAAUAAUAAGACCUGCAUUUCUCCAGUGACCAAUAGUAAACUGAGCUUCAAUUAUCUAGUUAGAGAAAAAGUUAAAUAUUGCUUCCAAAGUUUAGCACAUGUUUUAAUAUUUUUACUUUCUGCUUUAAAAAUAUGCUUCUCAUUUUCUUCCCCUGACUAGAUCUUUGACUGCCAGAGAGAUGUAUAAGUAUCUUGAGCUCCACUGGUAGAGUUAUGAGUUCUUGAAUUUAGAGGUUAUUAGAAGAAUUUUUUUCUACUGUUUUCAUGUAAAUUACUACUCAGGAAACAAUGGUGGAAUAUGAUCUUUAUUUCUCUUUUAUAGUGCCUUUUUCAUUGCUUCCAAACUUUUCAUAACUUUUCUACAGUUACCAAUACCAUCUUAUGUCAUCCAGACUGCCAUUGCAAUACACUCUUAACUCUUUCCAUGCCAGCACAUCUUAUACAUAGCAUUCAUUCAUUCAUUUGCUCACUUAGCAAACAUGCCUGGUAGAGCUCGAACAUUCAAGUAGGUGCUAGACAUAUUAAUGAGCUCAAAUAUCUUCUUCAGAUUCCCAUCACUUGUCAUAUAAAUGUCAAGGCCCGUUGCCUAUCAUUCAGAAACCUCUGCAUUUACUUAUUUAAACCUGCUUUGAUACCUUUAACCUAUUUUUUUUUUCCUUUUUUUUCUUUCCUUUAAGAAAUAAGGUCUUGCAAUGUUACCCAGGAUAGAUUUUAACCCCUAGUCUUAAGGGAUCUUCUGGCCUCAGCCUCCUGGUUAGUUGGAACUAUAGGUGUGUGCCACUGUACCUGGCUCGACCUGCUUUUUAAUUCUUUCUCUCACUACAUGGUAUUAUGAACUCUCAACUCCAGGUGGACAAGUCUCCUCUUGUGUCUGUGCCUUUGCUUUGGUGGUCCUCUUCCAGGUGUGCCUGCCCAUCUCGAUUUCACUUGUUCAAACCUAAUACUCAGUGGGAAGUUCAGGUAUUACUGCUUUUGUGAAACUCCCCUGACAACAAAGGUCCAUAAGACCCUUGUUUAAUAUCUGAAUUGAUAUAAUUCAAACUACUAGUUAUCUAAGCAUAUAGGAAAACAACAAGAUUUCAAGAUACUUAAAUGAAAAGAGAGAAAGAUACUGGUUUAUCUGUUCUCUUACCCUCCAUAGAAUCUAAUACAGUCUUACUCAACAAAUACUUGCCUAUUUAUUGUUUAAGCCACCUAAUAACACAUAAAAAUGGAAAGUGAUUCGCUGUUGGGGCUAUUCCAGUAGUUUAUGGCUUCCCUCUUAUUUAUUUAUUUUUUGGAUGACUUCAGAUACCAAGUUGGUUCAAACCCUUAUCAAAAAUGACAUUUCCAACUUGGCUCCUGUGGAGUCUUCAAUCCUUCUUCUGUCGUUGCUAUAGAAAUACAGGAUUGCCUAGUCUAGUUUGGAGAGCACGGUGUCAGGUAGUGGAAAGAGUUGCAGCUUUGCACAGAAAAACUAGAUUUGAGUUCUAAUUCUCCCUGCAAAUUGUUUGACUCUAGAAAUAGCUUGCCUCUCUGAACCUCAAGUCCCUCUUCUAUAAAGCAGAAUUAAUAAAACCUAUUGCACGGCUGUUGUGAAAAUAAAAUGUGAUAAUAUAUGAAUAUAGUACCUAUUUUGCUCACUUCACAGUAGGUGAUUGCUAAAUUAUAGCUAUUAUUUGUAUCCACCAUGAAUGCUAUAGUGUUCUGCAUCUUCUAGGGCUCUGGAAGAACCACUGAACUUACAGGGAUGCAUACCAGCCUCCUGUGUAGUGAGCUCUCCUAGAUUGUAAUUUUGAGAGCUGUCCAGCAUGCAGACUCCUUCCUUGUUGGUACAGAGCCUCUUUCUUUUUGUAGUAUGGUUGGAGAAUAGUGGCCUCUACUUAUCACAGAUGUCAGAAACUUUAAAUCCUCCCUCUUUUCAUCCCUAGGUUGAUAGAGUAUAGCAAAUGUCCAGAGUUUGGCCCAUUAUGUCCCUCUGCCACCUUAUCUCUGCGAUUUUGAAUCCUGACUGUGUGACUCUUGCUUCUGGGAUUUUGAAACCUGAGCGUAUGUCCUAAAGCUAAAUACUCAUGUAUAAUUUAUUCACAGCUCAGGCAGCUGCAGUGGUGGUAUUCAGCUAUGUUCUUCCUACGAGAUCAUUGUUGAGCUUCCUCGUCUUUAAUCAUCCAGACUGCUACGAUUCUUGUUUUCUAAGUCUCCCGUUGCUGUGAACCUCUGAUAAACUUCCAAUAAAUCACUAACCCCUCUUCCCCAAUUUUUCUCCAUAUGUUAUUGAAACCAAGAACUCAGAGUGAUAUACUACAUGUCCCAGGUGCUUCAUUCAAUGACAGAGGAUCCAUGGUGCAUUGGCCCACCCUUUGAUCUCAUCCCCAUGACUGGCUGUAAGGCUUCGUGAGGUCUUCUGCUGUCAUCAUCUUUGUAUCAUAGUUUCCAGGGAAUCCUGGUUUUUAAGGAAUCCUGGAAUCCUGGAGCCAGAAAGAAUGUUGAGCUGCCCUCUAGCUAAGCCACUGGCUUUCCAGUCACCUCCUAUUUUCACAGGAUGGCAUUUCUCGCCUUGAAUUGUUUCCAUGUUCCAGUUUUCCCCUCCUUCUUUAGAAGAAUGGUUCAACCAAUGGAAUUCUGGCAACUUCUCUUUUCAACACCUGAACAUGUUAUCAGGAGACACAAAUUCUCUUGUAACCUUUGCCGUCGAUAGUCAUUGUGUCAGCCGGUUCAUCUCUUUGUCCUUCAGUCUUCUCACCUAUAAACUAGGCUAAGUAGCAACAGAAGGUCAUUGUGAGGGGAAAAUUAAAAAAUUGUCAUGGUGGAAUAUUUUAACAUUUUUUUAAUUUAAAAAAAUUAAAUUACUGGAAGUAACAAGCAGAUGAUGUCCUGAAUAUUUUUCACAGAACAAUGAUAAUAAAAUGAACGGUAACAACAUUAGGAAAGAUGGGGUGACUUUUUGGUUUAACUAUUAGCCAUGGAGAAUUGUGCGUGGAGUGGCAGUGAGGGGCUGGGGGCUGGAUGAAAGCUACUGUUUUUCUAAUCAGGUAGUGACCUCUUCUGGGGAAAGAAAGAGUCUAGCAGGGCCUCAGCAUUAGGAGACAUGUACAACGUUUGUACCAAGGCAACCAAUGAUAGAGAGGAUGGUCGCCAGAGGAAGAAGCUCUUGUGGUAGAUGUUUGCCCUGGGCAGCCAGGUGGAAAACAAAAAUAAAUGAACUGAAACUAAAAAUCACUUUCUGGGUAGCCUUACCCAAAAGAGCCCUUACUGAGAGAGCUAAUGAAACCUUGUGGACCUGUGUAUGCAUUGUGGUGAGGUUACUAUCUGUGCAAGCUGGCCAUAUUCAAGAACCCAAGAUUGGUUUUUAUGGAGAAUAGUUCAAAAAAGGUCCAGAUGGGAAAUAUAUUUGUGUGCAUUCCUAACUGGAAGAAAAAGGCACUCUUUCAGAGGGACAAACCAAGGUUCGAAUGAAUGGUGAGGUCUAGAGUGGUGAGUGACUUUUGCCCAGUGGUCCUUUAGGGGGUAGGAAAGGGGCAAGUUCCUAUUGCGAUCUUGUCAAUUGAACUAGAGUAGUACAAACUGUAAGUUUUUUUUCUCUCUACUACACACCACUAUAUUCAUCUGCUACUUAAAGAUCUUGGAAGGAGGAAGAAAGAAAAUCUCCAGGAAGUCUUCUGGGUGACUUCAGCAAUAAUUGCAUUCCCCAUUUCCAGGUACCUGAAGGACUUAAAUUGUGCUAGAGAAUGGAACAUUAAAUCAGACAGAUUCUGCAUUGAAAAGUGCUGCACGACAUUACUGAUUACUGAAGAUACAAGCUAUUGCUUCCACUUACACCAGUGGACAGCGAGGUGCAGGGCUGAUGAAAAUCAUAUUGUCUUAUCUAUUUUUGAAUAGCAUUAGAAGAAUGGGUCUCAAAAGGUGAUGGGACUUGCCCAAGGCCAACUCAGAACGUAUGGGCAUAACUCAAGUUAGAUCUGGGGUUUCUGACCAUCUUUUUUUUGUUUGUUUUCUGUUAGCAGUCAUUCCUCUUCCACCUUUCUCCAGGCCCA
rnacentral:lncRNA from 1 species